GAGAGUUUGAUCCUGGCUCAGGAUGAACGCUAGCGAUAGGCCUAACACAUGCAAGUCGAGGGGCAUCACAUGACGUAGCAAUACAGAUGGUGGCGACCGGCGCACGGGUGAGUAACACGUAUGCAACCUACCUUCCACAGGAGGAUAACCCGUUGAAAGACGGGCUAAUACUCCAUAACACAGGGGUCCCGCAUGGGAAUAUUUGUUAAAGAUUUUUUCGGUAGAAGAUGGGCAUGCGUUCCAUUAGCUAGUUGGUUGAGGUAACGGCUCACCAAGGCAACGAUGGAUAGGGGAACUGAGAGGUUUAUCCCCCACACUGGUACUGAGACACGGACCAGACUCCUACGGGAGGCAGCAGUGAGGAAUAUUGGUCAAUGGAGGCAACUCUGAACCAGCCACGUCGCGUGAAGGAUGACGGCCCUACGGGUUGUAAACUUCUUUUAUACAGGAAUAAAGUGAGUCACGUGUGAUUUUUUGCAUGUACUGUAUGAAUAAGGAUCGGCUAACUCC
rnacentral:rRNA from 1 species